rnacentral:rRNA from 1 species
GAUUAACGCUGGCGGCGUGCCUAACACAUGCAAGUCGAACGAUGAAACUCAUUAGAUUUCUUCGGAAUGAAAAUGAAUGGAUUAGUGGCGAACGGGUGAGUAACGCGUGAGUAACCUGCCUUACACAAGGGGAUAGCCUCUGGAAACGGAGAAUAAUACCCUAUGAAACCAGACAAUCGCAUGAUAAUCUGGUCAAAAUGUUUAGUGGUGUAAGAUGGACUUGCGUCUGAUUAGCUAGUUGGUGAGAUAAAAGCUCACCAAGGCAACGAUCAGUAGCCGGCUUGAGAGAGUGUACGGCCACAUUGGGACUGAGACACGGCCCAGACUCCUACGGGAGGCAGCAGUGGGGAAUUUUGCACAAUGGGGGAAACCCUGAUGCAGCGACGCCGCGUGAUUUAGAAGGCCUUCGGGUUGUAAAAAUCUUUUGUAUAGGAAGAAAAUGACAGUACUAUACGAAUAAGAUCCGGCUAAUUACGUG